rnacentral:lncRNA from 1 species
GGCUUACCAAUGGAGAUCAUCAGGUGAUUUUUGUUGAAGUUGAAUUUCACAGAUUCAUGUGGAUAGCUAUGUGGAUGUAUUUCUGUGUUGAAUCUCUCUGAUGUAAUUUUACCGUUAUUUAUCAUCCUAGGAAAUCAUUGCAUUUCAACAACAGCUAGUUUCCAAUCCAUUUUUCUGUUCAUCUUUGUGAUAUGAUCGCUGUUUAGAAGCACAAAAAUCAUCAUAGUUUCAACAUACAAGAAGAACACAGUGCACAGGAAACUAGUGCUUUUAGAACAGAAGACACUGCACAAUGUGAGGUACUGCUGGAGAAGAGUAUCCAAGUACUUUAAUAUCCAGUGAUGCAGAUGUGUUAUCUGCUUUGGUUUUUAAUGUAAUCAAGAUUUUUUUUUUCUUUAUAUUAAAUCACUCAUGGAGGGGAAAAAGAAACACCUUACAGGUUCUGUGACUCACUGCACCCAGGUUCUUCCGAAUUUCCAGUAUGCCUCGAGCUCUGUGUGUCUUUGGAUGGUACUCUUCGCCUAUGUUCCUAAUGAAAUGAUUACCUUCUGUAAAUAUCAAGUCUUGUUAAGUGAUCAGCCUCAAUACAAGAGCCCUCUGCAGCUCAAAUCGCACAGAAUAAAAUCUAAAACGGUUACUAUCAGGAGGUUUUCAUUAGAGGAGUGCAAACAAAAUUGUCAAAGUAUAAGAUUAUGUGAUUAUAAUCAAGAGGAAUUAGACAUGGAGAAAGGGGGAAAUGAUAAAAAAAAAAAAAGCAUCAGAACAUAAAGAACAUCCAUAGAAAGCAAAUGGUUCAAAUUUAUCUUGGGGAGGAAAGUUUAUAGUAACUGGAAAAUCCACAUCAUUUUUGACAUUGUCUGGUAUGAUAAGCUGGUAGUUGAAUAAUAGGCAAGGCAUCAACUACAAGGAUGUUAAUUUCUGUAUUAGAAUAUUCUUUUCCUGCAGAGGUCGUGAUUUACUUCAUUUCAUUUUGAAGGUUGUGAAUUUGUAAAGGGAAUCUGUGAUUGCUCUCUGAUUAAUAAGUAGAGGCUAUUUAAGUGUUAGUUUGAACGGCCCAUGUUUACUAUAACCUCACAGUUUGUAUACCAGUCAAAAUUA